CGGGACGGGGUGGAGUAAUGUCUGGGAAACGUGCCUGAUGGAGGGGGGUAACUACUGGAAACGGUAGCUAAUACCGCAUAACGUCGCAAGACCAAAGAGGGGGACCUUCGGGCCUCUUGCCAUCGGAUGUGCCCAGAUGGGAUUAGCUAGUAGGUGGGGUAAAGGCUCACCUAGGCGACGAUCCCUAGCUGGUCUGAGAGGAUGACCAGCCACACUGGAACUGAGACACGGUCCAG
rnacentral:rRNA from 1 species